rnacentral:rRNA from 2 species
CCCCAGGUCAGACGGGACUACCCGCUGAGU